rnacentral:tRNA from 1 species
GGGCGCAUAGCUCAGUGGUAGAGCACUCGCCUUACAAGCGAGGGGUCACUGGUUCGAACCCAGUUGCGCCCA